rnacentral:lncRNA from 1 species
AAUCCUGGGAGCUUUCUUCCACCCCAUUAUGAGUAGCAACCUCUCCUUGUGUCUCAGACUCUCUGUGCAACCUGAUUUGGCCCUAAACAUAGUUAAAUGAUGUGCUUCUGUGUCUGUCUUCACAGCCAACCUGGAAGUUCCCUGGAGGCAGAACCACUUGUUUUUAUGGUCUCCAGACCCAGCCCAUGGAUAUUUUUCACAUGAAUGAGUUAACAAGCCUUGCCCCAGACCACAGUGAGACAGACUUCCAGGAAAUGGAAGGACAUGGGUAAAAGGACAGACAGGGCAAUCUUGGCAUGGAUUAGAUUGAGAUGGAAGUCUAAAGGUAUACCAGGGCUUUGCUGUCCUAUUUACCAAAUGCUUAUAGUUCUAUUACAAUUAAUGCUUGUUUGAUAUUUUGAAUUUGAAGUCACAUCUGACUCCCUUGUUUCUUACAUGCCACCAGCAAAUCCCAUUCACUCUACCUUGCAAAUAUACCUGAUUCCUACCACCCUUAUUCAUGCCUGCUUAGCUUGAGCUAUCACUGCC